rnacentral:rRNA from 1 species
GGAGGGACGGAGAAGGCUAGGCCAGCUUGGCGUUGGUUGUCCAAGUUUAAGGUGGUAGGCUGAGAUCUUAGGUAAAUCCGGGAUCUUAAGGCCGAGAGCUGAUGACGAGUGUCCUUUAGGACACGAAGUGGUUGAUGCCAUGCUUCCAAGAAAAGCUUCUAAGCUUCAGGUAACCAGGAACCGUACCCCAAACCGACACAGGUGGUUGGGUAGAGAAUACCAAGGCGCUUGAGAGAACUCGGGUGAAGGAACUAGGCAAAAUGGCACCGUAACUUCGGGAGAAGGUGCGCCGGUGAGGGUGAAGCAUUUACUGCGUAAGCCCACGCCGGUCGAAGAUACCAGGCCGCUGCGACUGUUUAUUAAAAACACAGCACUCUGCAAACACGAAAGUGGACGUAUAGGGUGUGACGCCUGCCCGGUGCCGGAAGGUUAAUUGAUGGGGUUAGCUAACGCGAAGCUCUUGAUCGAAGCCCCGGUAAACGGCGGCCGUAACGAUAACGGUCCUAAGGUAGCGAAAUUCCUUGUCGGGUAAGUUCCGACCUGCACGAAUGGCGUAACGAUGGCGGCGCUGUCUCCACCCGAGACUCAGUGAAAUUGAAAUCGCUGUGAAGAUGCAGUGUAUCCGCGGCUAGACGGAAAGACCCCGUGAACCUUUACUAUAGCUUUGCACUGGACUUUGAAUUUGCUUGUGUAGGAUAGGUGGGAGGCUUUGAAGCGUGGACGCCAGUCUGCGUGGAGCCAACCUUGAAAUACCACCCUGGCAACUUUGAGGUUCUAACUCAGGUCCGUUAUCCGGAUCGAGGACAGUGUAUGGUGGGUAGUUUGACUGGGGCGGUCUCCUCCUAAAGAGUAACGGAGGAGUACGAAGGUGCGCUCAGACCGGUCGGAAAUCGGUCGUAGAGUAUAAAGGCAAAAGCGCGCUUGACUGCGAGACAGACACGUCGAGCAGGUACGAAAGUAGGUCUUAGUGAUCCGGUGGUUCUGUAUGGAAGGGCCAUCGCUCAACGGAUAAAAGGUACUCCGGGGAUAACAGGCUGAUACCGCCCAAGAGUUCAUAUCGACGGCGGUGUUUGGCACCUCGAUGUCGGCUCAUCACAUCCUGGGGCUGAAGCCGGUCCCAAGGGUAUGGCUGUUCGCCAUUUAAAGUGGUACGCGAGCUGGGUUUAGAACGUCGUAAGACAGUUCGGUCCCUAUCUGCCGUGGACGUUUGAGAUUUGAGAGGGGCUGCUCCUAGUACGAGAGGACCGGAGUGGACGAACCUCUGGUGUUCCGGUUGUCACGCCAGUGGCAUUGCCGGGUAGCUAUGUUCGGAAUAGAUAACCGCUGAAAGCAUCUAAGCGGGAAACUAGCCUCAAGAUGAGAUCUCACUGGAACCUUGAGUUCCCUGAAGGGCCGUCGAAGACUACGACGUUGAUAGGUGGGGUGUGUAAGCGCUGUGAGGCGUUGAGCUAACCCAUACUAAUUGCCCGUGAGGCUUGAC